rnacentral:rRNA from 1 species
UACGUAGGGCGCAAGCGUUAUCCGGAAUUAUUGGGCGUAAAGAGCUCGUAGGCGGUUUGUCGCGUCUGCCGUGAAAGUCCGGGGCUCAACUCCGGAUCUGCGGUGGGUACGGGCAGACUAGAGUGAUGUAGGGGAGACUGGAAUUCCUGGUGUAGCGGUGGAAUGCGCAGAUAUCAGGAGGAACACCGAUGGCGAAGGCAGGUCACUGGGCCGCAACUGACGCUGAGGAGCGAAAGCAUGGGGAGCGAACAGG